AUGGGGAUGUGCAUAGUCUGGUGUGCAGCCAUGUAUCUCUUGGGAGCAAGCCAAAUUGAUGCUAAAAUAACCCAGACACCGAGUCUGGUGCUGGAGAGAGGACAUACUGCCUAUCUCAGAUGUGAACAAACCUAUGGGCAUGACAGCAUGUUCUGGUACCGGCAGGAUCCAGGGCAGGGAUUGCAGCUGCUCUUUAACUUCUACUAUAAAAAAGAAAGAGAGAAGGGCACAAAUUCUAGUCACUUCCAGGCCGAUCAGCCGCAGGAUGAUCUCUUUCGCUUAAACAUCUCAUCUGUGCAGCCAGAGCACUCGGCUGUGUAUUUCUGCGCCAGCAGCUUAGACACAGCACUUUAG